UUUCUCAUGAAUCUAUGAGAUGUGCAUAUAGAGGUAUAUGAAAAAUAAUUGAGAAAAGCUUCAAUUUUCUUUUCAAAGAGAAGACAUCAUCUUCAAAGUCAUGAUAAAUCGAGGCAUGGAAAAUAUAGAAGGAAAGCUGAAAGAUGAAACAAUUGAGAACAGUGAACAGAGAGAUGAAGCCUCCUCACCCUGAAACUGCUUAUCUUUGCCCAGAAGUGACUUCUAACUUCCUUAGACAGGUCUGGGGUAUGACCUGGCUGUCAAUAUUCUCCAGCGACCUUCCCAGAUGGACUGCUGUAUCUCGUAGCCUGAGUCUACUCUUCUCUAGACACAUGUUCGUAGGAGUAGAACCUCACAGGAAGCAAGUUGAACACUUUCUCUUGACCUGGGUGUGGAUUGAUGUGGAAGACAAACUGACAGUUUUUCUCUUCUUCCUUUUUAUAUUCUCCUAUUUCCUUCUAAAAAAGGUAUUUCAUAGGCUGAAAUGGCCUUGGCCAUUCUGGCAGUUAUUACAGGAUGGUUUUGAGCAGCUGGGGGGAAUCUCCGAGUUUGGCUCACGCUUUACAGUGUAGAGUGAAAAUUUCAUGAAACACUUUCUCAUAACAUUCAGUAAUUCUAUAUUACAUAUGAUCAAUGACCUGAAUAGGUCCUAAGUCUAAUUAAUGUCAUUCAAAACUUUUUUUGAAUAAAAGAAUACAAUGUAAAAAAAUUUUUUUAAAA
rnacentral:lncRNA from 1 species